CAUAAAUAUAAAUAAAUAAAAUAAGACUCCAGUCACCCAAGUCAUAGACUCUUCUCUCUGCUACCGCACAGCAAGCGGUACCGGAGCGCCAAGUCUAGGACCCAAAAGGCUCUUUAGCAGCUUCUACCUCCAAGCCGUAAGACUGAUGAACAAUUAAUGAAAUGGCCACCCGGACUAUUUACAUUGGUUUAGUUUUUACACUGUUGCUACUCACUGUUUAUUAUCUAUGCAUAGUCACUUUACAAAUUACCUCGACCCACGCACACUGACUCGGUACAGGUACCCGUACCCCUGUAUAUAGCCUCGUUAUUGGUAUGUAAUUUCCUUGUAACUUUUUAUUUAUUUAAAAAAAAAGAUAUACUUUAGUUUAUUUACUAUAUAUUUUCUUAACUCUAUUUCUUGAACUGCAUUGUUGGUUAAGGGCUUGUAAAGCAUUUCACUGUAAGGUCUACUACACCUGUUGUAUUCAGCAUUUCACUGUGAGGUCUACUACACCUGUUGUAUUCAGCAUUUCACUGUGAGGUCUACUACACCUGUUGUAUUCAGCAUUUCACUGUGAGGU
rnacentral:lncRNA from 1 species